AUUGAACGCUGGCGGCAGGCCUAACACAUGUAAGUCGAACGAGUGGCGGACGGGUGAGUAAUGUCUGGGAAACUGCCUGAUGGAGGGGGAUAACUACUGGAAACGGUAGCUAAUACCGCAUACCAUCGGAUGUGCCCAGAUGGGAGUAGCUAGUAGGUGGGGUAACGGCUCACCUAGGCGACGAUCCCUAGCUGUGCUGAGAGGAGGACCAGCCACCCUGGAAUGUUGCCACGGUCCAGACUCCUACGGUAGGCAGCAGUGGGGAAUAUUGCACAAUGGGCGCAAGCCUGAUGCAGCCAUGCCGCGUGUAUGAAGAAGGCCUUCGGGUUUUAAAGUACUUUCAGCGGGGAGGCGUUACCCGCAGAAGAAGCACCGGCUAACUCCGUGCCAGCAGCCGCGGUAAUUC
rnacentral:rRNA from 1 species